UAGCUGUGAUGAAAAUCUAUUUGUGUCCGGAGGCUGUUUCUUCGGAUAACAGCCUGUGACGGUCACAACCCUCUAAGAAGUUCUGAGCUU